rnacentral:piRNA from 1 species
UGAGAGUCUCAGCUGACCAGUGGGC